CACAGAGCUUCCGGCACAUCGCGUUUGUUGUUUAUAUCAUACGCAUGCGCGCACGUCUCACAAGAUUUUCCUUAUAUCAAUAACCUCGCAUGUGAUUGGAGGAGCCCGACAGGCUUCUCGCCUUCGUCCAAUCAUGUGCGAGGUCAUGGUCACGGCUCACACAGCAGUGUCGACAAGCGUAACAGACGUUUGGUUUGGUGUUUGUAACUCUCCAAGAAGAGAAGACUGGUGCACAAUCCCAAGAUUGCGGUAAGAAUAAUUUUAUGUAAAAGCAUCUUUUUUGAAGUAGCCCAAGCUGUGUGUUUUAUAACUAAGAGGUGUUUUUUGUCUUGUAAUUUACAGGAGGCUGUACGGCGUCUCUGAGGCACACUGCAGGCGCUAUGAACCAGAGCAAAGACUAACGUCGCCUCAUAACAAAGCCGUGACCUCCGAUUUGCUUGGGGCUAUUUCAGCAAGUCCAGAUUUACUGCUGAGAAUGACGACAUUGUUUCUGCCCGUAAGACGUAUUAUGAGUCGGUACGCCGGAGUUUCAGAUACAAACAACCUGAACUCGCAUCGCAGUCGGAAAAUGCGAAAAGUUUAGCUCGGAGUCGAUCCAGAAGAAAAAUGUUGCUGGAAGCGAGACGAAGUGUGUUGGCUGAGGAUGAGAUGGACAUUUGGAAGUGCGCCACCAUAGAUCUCAUAUCUGAUGAGGAAUACGGCAUUGUUGGCGGGGCGUCUGGAUGGAUUGUGCGGCCACCGCCCUCUCGCAGCCUGGAACUCUCCGAGCUCUGUGCCACGCUGCAAUCCAGAUUAGGGGCGAUACCAAAGUACCGGGCAACUCACCAUAUACGCGUGAAAAAGUGACUUUUUUACAACGUUUUUUAGUUUUUUUUCAACACUUUGAAAAAGAUUUUUAGGGAUCUUUCC